GCGGCGGAUAGCUCUGUGGGUAAAGCGCCAGGCCUGAAACCUAUUCACUGCGCGGGUUCGAAUCCCGUCUGUGGCA